rnacentral:tRNA from 2 species
AUCGGGAAAAGUUUUCUAAUAAUUUGACCUUAGCCUUCCAAGCUAAUGAUGCGAGUUCGAUUCUCGCCGCCCGCUU